UACAGAGGUCCCAAGCGUUGUUCGGAUUCACUGGCGUAAAGGGUGCGUAGGUGGCCAGGUAAGUUCGGUGUGAAAGCUCGGAGCUUAACUCCGAAAUGUCAUUGAAUACUAUCUGGCUGGAGGGUCGGAGGGGAGACUGGAAUUCUCGGUGUAGCAGUGAAAUGCGUAGAUAUCGAGAGGAACACCAGUGGCGAAGGCGAGUCUCUGGACGACUCCUGACACUGAGGCACGAAAGCUAGGGGAGCAAACAGG
rnacentral:rRNA from 1 species